GAUGAAGAACGUAGCGAAAUGCGAUAAGUAGUGUGAAUUGCAGAAGUACCGUGAAUCAUCGAAUCUUUGAACGCAAAUUGCACUCUCUGGUAUUCCGGGGAGUAUGCCUGUUUGAGGGUCGCUUAACAAACCAUCGAUUUCGUUGCUUUUUUUUUUUAAAAAAGUGAUGUUUAUCGGAUUUGAGCCGUCUUUUUUUUUAUAUUUAAGUGGCUUAAAAUUGAUUUUUUUGGUACGAUCGAAGCGUAUUUUUAUGAUCAAUUUUUGGUUAAAGAAACGCACACGUACCGUUAUUUAUAUGAUGUAAUACGUUUGACUAUUGGAUUUAGUUCAUUCGUAUACGAUAUUUUUCAAUAUUUGACCUCAAAUCAGGUAAGAACACCCGCUGAACUUAAGCAUAUCAAUAACGAGGA
rnacentral:misc_RNA from 1 species